AAGACGAGGCCGAAGCCUGGAGCGCAUGGCGCGGCGGCGGGGACGGAGCGGUCACAGCCCGAGUGGCGGGGCAGGCGCGCCCGACAGCUGCGAGCCGGGGCGCCACACCCACCGCCCGCGUAGUCGCUAGCGCCCUCCCCGGGUCCGCCCGCCCGCGGGCCACGCGAGGCGCCCGCCGCCUCCCCGCAGCCCCAAGGCCUGCAUGCCCCAGGGAGAAAUAAACCAUUUACACAAAGACUGAGCCAAAGUGGAAAAUUUUUGCUGCUAUCAAAUCAACAAAAAAUACAGAGGAAAAAAUUGCUAAAGACACUGGACAUCGGCCGGGCACGGUGGCUCACGCCUGUAAUCCCAGCACUUUGGGAGGCCAAGGCGGGCGGAUCACGAGGUCAAGAGAUCGAGAUCAUCCUGGCUAACACGCUGUGAUGUUCCAGAGUUAUCUGACCUUCACUCAGUUCAGUGGAAUGGGCUGCUGAGGGUCAGGAGUGUAGGGAACUGGCUGGGGAAAAUUUGGAAGAAGAGCAUAACAAAGGUCAAAGUCAUCAGACCCAGUCUAGUUUUCUACAGGAUUGAAAAUUACCAAUUAUUCUCAAGUUUCUGCUAUUAGCAACCAACGUUUUCCAUCUGAAACAGACCCCUCCUUUUUUAAAAAAGGAAAUGCACAAAAAGGAAGCAAACUCUUUGAAAAUUCUGAUCGUUUUGCAUCCCAGCAGCAAAUAAAAAUCAUCAAUAGAACUCACUCUUAGCCUUGAGCAAUAUUUUCUAAAACAAAACACGAAGAACUUGUAGUAUUUAAACUAUUUUGUUAUUGAUUUACUGUGGUUUGCAAGGUAAUGUUGAAGAAAAUUAAAUGUACAGAAGCCUGAAAUGCGUUUUUGAUGGUGGUAACUGGUGUGACCUGUGUUUUCCAAGGUGGUGUCACUGGUCAUGCGCAGAAUGAAUGACUGAGGGAGCACAUUUUGGUUACAAAUAAGCUGGCCACCUUCACUGCAGAGCCUCAUGAAACCAAAGUCUAUUUCCACUGUUAAGAAAGACAAGUUAUUCAGCUGCAAGCUUCCUUCUAAUGGUAGCUGUGUCUGUUUUACCGAGGGUCUUUAAUUCAAUAAGAUUCACUAUGGAUGUGUGGAGCGGUUUCUAUGUGCCUAGAUCUAAGCCUGGUUUUAAGGACUUCCCCUGGCACAUUCAUGACUCCUUGGUCCUCUCAGAAAAUAAAACCUCAACAGUUUGAAGUCCACCUUAAUUACUGAUUCAAGAUCAAAAUAAUCAUAUUGCUUCAAACUUGGACAUUUAUGUACAACGUGAUCAAAGAGUAUAUUUUCUAUACAGUGAAAUGGCCAGUUUCCAAAUCUAGGGGCACUUUACAAUCUAUAGGCGACUAUACUUUGACACCCUUAUCUUAGACAAGAAUCUGGAAGUUAAACUAGAACUUGAACAUUUUAAUUUUAGGUAGUCCCUCAAGCUUUUCCUUAAGCUGGCUUUCUUGUAUUUUAGACUUGAUUCUAACAAGCUUAGUAUCUGAUUUCUCAAUUAAAAGCACAAGAGAAACAGCCAAAUAGAAGGAGAAGAGGAAGGUCUUUUAAAGGGAGGAACAAGAACAGCAGCAAGAAAUGACAUCUACUAGCAAAACUAUACAACAAAAACAAAAAACCAGUUUGGGGUCAACCAGCCUAGGGACAAAUGGCCCUACUCGUGUCAAUAUCAGGAGAUACUGGUAUAGAACAUGGCAAAUAGACAAUGUCCAUAAUAAUGAGCUUAAGAAUUUUUUGUUUUUUUUAGAGAUGAGGUCUCACAGUGUUGCCCUGACUGGAGCACAGUGGCUAUUCACAAGCACAAUCAUUCCGCACUACACCUUUGAACUCCUGGGCUCAAAUGAUCCUCUUGUUUCAGUUUCCUGAGUAGCUGGAAGUAAAUUUAAUUUUUAAAAAAAUUAAAUCCUGAUGCAUGUAAUCUGUUUAAGAGGAUAGAGAGUGUUAUAAUACAUUUAAGAUCUAUUGCUUGUAAUUUUUUAAAGUUUGAUUUUAUAAAGAAUAUACUACAGUUAUCUGAAUAAUUUUCUUACAUGGAGCAGCUCAUCCACCUAUGAUGUUGCCAUGUGAGUUUCAGAAAAUCCAUAUUAAACACAAUGAAAGCUCUCACUUUGCCCACUUUUCUGUAAAGUUUGCCAUGAAGCACCAUGUGAUCUCACAGGGACAGACAAGCCUGCUGAUCCUCUGAAUUCAUUAAAGACAUACGGGGCCGCUUUGGGCCCAAGUUUACCUUGGCUUCUUUGCAGAGAGUUUGAUUACUUUUAAGAUUUAUGGUCAAAGCGGGGGGUGGAAAAGAAAUACCUCACAGAGCAGAUUUAUAACUUCAUCUUGAUUUUUAAUACCAUUAGGGAUGACAUCCUAUGACAUAAUCUUGGAAUGACUGCAGGGUGACUCAGAAACUCAGUGGGAAGUUUUAUAUUUUAGGGUCUGGAGCAUUUUGUAGUUGCAAGGUCAGGUAGGAAAGGACCAGGGAAAUGAGCCAGAGAGACGGUCAGAAAGUGAGUGUCAGCUGGUUUAAUUUUCUGUGUCAACUCCGAAAAUUAGAUAAACAAUGACAAACCAGGCUUUUUAAAUGAACUUGUCACUUCUGGUUUUCUUGAUACAGAGCAACAUUUUUCAAGUCCUGGUAGGCCCAAAGACAGAUUUUUAACCCCUGAGAGGUGUAUCCAAGUGUUUCAAAGUCCUCACAUCUGAAAAUAAAAGGUUUAGUCUAACCCUAUACCCCUUAAAAGAAAAACUAAUUAUCCUUGAAAUUUAAAUACUCUUCUCAUAACAAUUAAGGGGACUUUGCCUAGAGCCAGAAGGUCCAGUCUUUUGCAGGAGGGUCUUAGCAACGCCCUAGUUUUUUCUUUCCACCAGACCAACUCAACCCUUCAACACAGUUCCUUUGAGCUUAACCUCCUUUUGCAAACCUGACCUCCAACGACUGUUCUAAGCAAUACUGUCCACAUUGAGCAGGUACUGGCUCUCUUCUCACCAACGCAGGUGAGCAGAGACCUGGACCUGCCCCUCCUCUGCCUGGUGCUCUGUCGUUAUGAGGAGGUAGGAGGUAAGAAUUGCCCUGACUUUUAUAUGCUUUGUGCUAUUGUAAGUCUGUUGCAGCCAUGACAUUCUCCCUGGUGGUGAGGGGAACAGAUCAGUGAAUCUUCCUAAUAGCUGCUCCUAUUGCCUUUGCUGUAAGGAUAUUUAUUUAAAGACAACCCAGUUUGAAUAUGUUAAUUUGGAGAGAGAAAUGCUUAUAUUUACUGAUACCAGCAUUUGAGUAGGGGUUUUCAUUCUACAACCGGCUUUCGAGCUCAUUAUCUUAUUUCAGUGUCACAACAACCCCAUGAAGUGGCUGGAUGGCAUUACUGUUACUUCCUUCAAUUUGUGGAUUUGGCCAAGGUAGAGCUGGGAUUUGCACUGGAUGUCAGCUCCCAAACCUGUGCCUUUUGUGAUGAUGUGCAAUAUAAUAGCAGCCAGUUGUGAGCACUUACCCUGUGCCAGGUGCUCAUUAGGUGCUUUCAUUUACAUUAGUUCACGUGAUCUCCAAAAGCCCUAUCAGAAAGUAAAUAACCUAUUUUAUAAACAAGGACACUGCACUCUAAGAUGGUAAUGAUGCCUGAGCCCAAGUUUCUUGAGGCUCUUGGCCUUCACAGGUCAGUCUUUCCCCACACUCCACAAGUGGUCAAAACAAGCCCCUGCAUAACAAAGUCAGAGUCUGCCCUAGAGGAAAUGUGAAACAGGUGAUUUGAAGCCCUUUGAUCCUUUAGUCUUUGCCUCAUCCCUCAACUCCAAUGUCCCUUUUCCUGUUUAAUGCAGAAGAGUCUCCUCUUUCAAAGCUUCAAAAUCAUCUG